rnacentral:rRNA from 1 species
AUUGAACGCUGGCGGCAUGCUUUACACAUGCAAGUCGAACGGUAACAGGUUAAGCUGACGAGUGGCGAACGGGUGAGUAAUGCAUCGGAACGUGCCCAGUCGUGGGGGAUAACGCAGCGAAAGCUGUGCUAAUACCGCAUACGAUCUAUGGAUGAAAGCGGGGGACCGUAAGGCCUCGCGCGAUUGGAGCGGCCGAUGUCAGAUUAGCUAGUUGGUGGGGUAAGGCCCACCAAGGCGACGAUCUGUAGCUGGUCUGAGAGGACGACCAGCCACACUGGAACUGAGACACGGUCCAGACUCCUACGGGAGGCAGCAGUGGGGAAUUUUGGACAAUGGGCGCAAGCCUGAUCCAGCAAUGCCGCGUGCAGGAAGAAGGCCUUCGGGUU